rnacentral:rRNA from 1 species
UACGGAGGGUGCAAGCGUUAAUCGGAAUUACUGGGCGUAAGGCGCACGUAGGUGGCUGCUUAAGUCGGAUGUGAAAGCCCUGGGCUCAACCUGGGAAUUGCAUUUGAUACUGAGCGGCUAGAGUACGAUAGAGGGAGGUAGAAUUCCACGUGUAGCGGUGAAAUGCGUAGAUAUGUGGAGGAAUACCGGUGGCGAAGGCGGCCUCCUGGAUUGAUACUGACACUGAGGUGCGAAAGCGUGGGGAGCAAACAGG